ACAAUCUGCAAGAAAAGUGGUGAAAAGAAGCUGUCGGGCCUGCAGGAGCUGGGGCGUGUGUGUGUGUGUGUGUGUGUGUGUGUGUGUGUGUGUGUGUGUGUAGGGGAGGGAGAGAGCAUGUGAAAGAGAGUUAGUCAUGCGUCUGUGGUGUGUGAGCCUCUGUAUGUGGAGGUAUGUGCACGGGAGACCUGGGGGAACUUCACGAUCUUCCUUUAUCACUCACCUUAUUCCUUUGAGACAGGAGUCUCUCACUGAGUCUCAGAGCUAGGCUGGCAGCCAUUAAGCCCAGCCAUCCUCCUGUCUCUGCCCUCUGCAUUUCUGGGGUUUCAGGUAUAUGUGGUUUUAUCGUGCUUUUUAUGUGAUCCAAAUUCAGGUCUUUAAGCUUAUGUGUCAGUGCUCUUCCCCGAGCCCUUGCCCCAGGCCCUGUUAGUGCUUCUCUAAGGCUUGUCGGUCUGUGCAUGUGAUCCACAGGAACACCACACACACACAGCGGCUCCCUGUGGUGACUGGGAACGUUCGGGAAGCAGUCUCUCCUAAGCUGUCCGUGAAUGUCACAGUGGGAAUCUGCAAAGGACAGCUAGCUCCUUUCUCUGCUCAGCUGAGGCCAAGCUGCAGCAGGAAGACAUGGAGGAAGCAGUUGCUGAAGGAGCCAUUUUCCUCCAGACAUGGCUGAGUCCAUGUCUGGGAUACGGCCAGGAAGAGCUGGAGAGCAGUGUCUCGGCCACACCUCCAUGGUCCGUGGGAGUGUGAAGCGCCUCCCAGGUAUGUUUCCCAACAGAAUUUCCUACCUCUUCACUCGGCUCCUGGGUCAUCUGAGACCCAGUUACGUUACUGUACACUCUGGAAUCUAGUCAGCUCCUUAGCCUGUCCAGACUGCACAUGCCUUGCCAGCCUGUGUAACUUCCCCAGCAGUAGAGCACUGCCUUCCCUUCCUGUCACUGUCCUUCAUCUGCAUGCCCAUCAGCAGCUCAGACUCCUCCUGAUGAGGACCCCAGCCCUCUGUCCCCCUCCCUUGAAGUUUUUCAGAACUGUUCUACACUAUAUCUAAUCUUAUGCCAAAAUGGCCAGCUCAUCUGCGUUUCUCCUUUUCUCCUCCCCACCCAAUGCUCUAGGCAAAGGCAAGAAUUACAAGGGAGUAGAAGAGGAGUCUGGAAGUGGGCCGUUUGCUCUUCAGGGGAACUGGGAGCGGGGAGACACAUUCCAAGUGUCUUCUCCUGCAGUGCUCGCACAGUCACUUAACUGUCCUGUAAAGAAGUUGCUAAUAAGCAUUAGGGGGUUGGGGGAUAAGGUGGCGGGCAGGGAGAGGAAGGAGACAGAGUUAUAUAUUCCUUGUAUCCACAGAAAUCCACAUGGUCUUGGGGUGAAGCACUACUCCCGCAGGUCUGAAGCGCUGCCCACUGCCCUGGGAGCCCCACAGAGGACUCACUGGUUGCUGGGGUGCUCCUGGGAGAAGUUUCGCUGUCUGCAAGAUGGAAUAUUGUCCAUGAGUGCCAGAAGAGAUGGACGCGUCUGAGGCUGACUUCUUCACCAUUAAGCCAGCUGUGAAAAAUGAUGAGACGGUGUCAGCCUCAGUGACUUGGGAACAUGCUCGCAAGCUAUCAGAAGUUUCAGGGGAGGCAGCCCCAAAGACAGCCACACCCACGGUCAGGUAUACAGACCCACAAGCCACUCAGAGUGCUCCCAGGCAGGCCCCGUGAGCCUCUCCAGAGUUUCUCUUUGGGGGUUAUGACUGUGGGCUUGCAGCUCACACAGCACGGGUGAGGCCUGGGUUCCAUCCCAAGCACCAUAGAAAACAAAGCAGUGUUCCUGUCGAGUCUCUUGAUAGCUUGGCCCAUUGGGAGACUGUCUAGGGAAGCAGGAUUGGAAUGUGAAUUUACAUCUAACACGAAGAGGGAUUUUAAAUCUUAUAGAAAAACCAAUUGAUUUUUAAAGUGGUUUAAAACACAUUAUUAUCAGGACCGAUUAUUUUAAAUGUUAAAAAUGUUUUUAAAAAAUGUUUGUAUUUUUUUGUGUGUGUAUAAAGUGUGUACAAAACGUGUAUGUGUUUGUGUGUGAGUGCAUGCACAUGUAAGGACAGAGGACUGCCUUGGGUCCUUGUCUUCUAACUUGUUAAGGCAGGGUCUCCAGCUAUUUGUACUACACACUCCAGGGUAGGUAGU